rnacentral:rRNA from 1 species
CACUAGUGAUUGGUGUUCUUCCCGAUAUCUACACAUUCCACCGUUACACCGGGAAUUCCAGUCUCCCCUACCGCACUCAAGCCCGCCCGUACCCGGCGCGGAUCCACCGUUAAGCGAUGGACUUUCACACCGGACGCGACGAACCGCCUACGAGCUCUUUACGCCCAAUAAUUCCGGAUAACGCUUGCACCCUACGUAUUACCGCGGCUGCUGGCACGUAGUUAGCCGGUGCUUAUUCGAAAGGUACACUCACCCGAAGGCUUGCUCCCGAUCAAAAGCGGUUUACAACCCGAAGGCCGUCAUCCCGCACGCGGCGUCGCUGCAUCAGGCUUGCGCCCAUUGUGCAAUAUUCCCCACUGCUGCCUCCCGUAGGAGUCUGGGCCGUAUCUCAGUCCCAAUGUGGCCGGUCGCCCUCUCAGGCCGGCUACCCGUCGUAGGCUCGGUGGGCCGUUACCCCGCCGACUACCUGAUAGGACGCGACCCCAUCCCAUACCGAUAUAAUCUUUCCCAGAAGGACAUGCAUCCAACUGGAGCAUCCGGCAUUACCACCCGUUUCCAGGAGAAUCGAAU